rnacentral:rRNA from 1 species
UACGGAGGGGGCUAGCGUUGUUCGGAAUUACUGGGCGUAAAGCGUGCGUAGGCGGUUCUCCAAGUCCGUUGUGAAAUCCCCGGGCUUAACCUGGGAAUGGCAGUGGAAACUAGGGGACUUGAAUCUGGCAGAGGGGGGUGGAAUUCCACGUGUAGCAGUGAAAUGCGUAGAGAUGUGGAGGAACACCGAUGGCGAAGGCAGGUCUCUGGGCCAUAACUGACGCUGAGAAGCGAAAGCAUGGGGAGCGAACAGG